UGGGGAAUAUCGCACAAUGGGCGCAAGCCUGAUGCAGCCAUGCCGCGUGUAUGAAGAAGGCCUUCGGGUUGGAAAGUACUUUCAGCGGGGAGGAAGGGAGUAAAGUUAAUACCUUUGCUCCUUGACGUUACCCGCAGAAGAAGCACCGGCUAACUCCGUGCCAGCAGCCGCGGUAAUACGGAGGGUGCAAGCGUUAAUCUGUAUUACUGGGCGUAAAGCGCACGCCGGCGGUUUGUUAAGUCAGAUGUGAAAUCCCCGGGCUCAAUGUGGGAACUGAGAUUGAUGCUGGCAAGCUUGAGUCACGUAGAGGGGGGUAGAAUUCCAGGUGUAGCGGUGAGAUGAGAAGAGAUCUGGAGGAAUACCGGUGGCGAAGGCGGCCCCCUGGACGAAGACUGACGCUCAGGUGCGAAAGCGUGGGGAGCAAACAGG
rnacentral:rRNA from 1 species